rnacentral:rRNA from 1 species
GUAAUACAUAGGGGCGAGCGUUAUCCGGAAUUAUUGGGCGUAAAGGGUGCGUAGGCGGUUUAAUAAGUCUCUAGUUUAAUUUCAACGCUUAACGUUGUCCUGCUAGAGAAACUGUUUGACUAGAGUGAGAUAGAGGUAAGCGGAAUUCCAUGUGUAGCGGUAAAAUGUGUAAAUAUAUGGAGGAACACCAGGGGCGUAGGCGGCUUACUGGGUCUUUACUGACGCUGAUGCACGAAAGCGUGGGGAGCAAACAGGAUUAGAUACCCUGGUAGUCCACGCCGUAAACUAUGAGUACUAAGUGUCGGGGUUAAACUCGGUACUGAAGUUAACACAUUAAGUACUCCGCCUGAGUAGUACGUACGCAAGUAUGAAACUUAAAGGAAUUGACGGGAUCCCGCACAAGCGGUGGAUCAUGUUGUUUAAUUCGAAGAUACACGAAAAACCUUACCAGGUCUUGACAUACUCUGCAAAACUAUAGAAAUAUAGUGGAGGUUAUCAGGGAUACAGGUGGUGCAUGGUUGUCGUCAGCUCGUGUCGUGAGAUGUUAGGUUAAGUUCUAAAACGAGCGCAACCCCUGUCGUUAAUUGCCAGCACGUUAUGGUGGGGACUUUAGCGAGACUGCCAAUGAAAAAUUGGAGGAAGGUGGGGAUUACGUCAAAUCAUCAUGCCCCUUAUGAUCUGGGCUACAAACGUGAUACAAUGGCUAUUACAAAGAGUAGCUGAAACGCGAGUUUUUGGCAAAUCUCAAAAAAAUAGUCCUAGUUCGGAUUGAAGUCUGCAACUCGACUUCAUGAAGUUGGAAUCGCUAGUAAUCGCGAAUCAGCAUGUCGCGGUGAAUACGUUCUCGGGGUUUGUACACACCGCCCGUCAAACCACGAAAGUGGACAAUACCCGAAAGCGAUAGCCUAACUGCGCAAGCAGAGGGAAUCGUCUAAGGUAGGGUCGAUGAUUGGGGUUAAG